GAUGCUCCUGCCUCAGCCUCCUGAGUAGCUGGGACUACAGGUGGCGUGCCAUCAUGCCUGGCUAAUUUUUAUAGUUUUAGUAGAGACGGGGUUUCACCAUGUUGGGCAGCCAGAAUGAUCUUGAUCUCCCGACCUCGUGAUCCACCCGCAUUGCCUGUCAAAGUGCUGGGGUUACAGGCGUGAGCCACUGCACCUGGCCAAUUUUUGUAUUUUUAGUAGAGAAGGGGUUUCACCAUGUUGGCCAAACUGGUCUGGAACUCCUGACCUCAGGUGAUUCACCCACGUAGACCUCCCAAAGUGCUGGGAUGACAGGUGUGUGUCAAUGCCCCUGGCCUAUUCUCGACUUUAUAAAGCAAAAGGAAAUAGUUGUUGAGGACCCAGUGCUGAAGACAAGCUCAAAGUGAGGGAGAGAGCUGCUGGACCGCCCUGGAUGGGGCCUGCAGGGUGGGCCAGGGGAGGCCCAGUCCAUUCCACUGAGGAGCUAAGAGGAGAAGGAGGUGCUGAGGGACAGGGUUCAGGGCAGGCUCCAAGUGAGGAGGCCACACCUGUGCCAAGUUAAGAAGUAGCCUGAAGUCAACAAGAGAGAAGGGCUGGUGUGGGGGGGCUUAAGAGGGGACAACAGCCAUAGGUCAAGCAAGACUUACACAGCUGGGGCAGCCCUAUCCCAAACCCUUGUAGCAGCACCAAAUGCCCACAUGAUGAAAUCUAAAUUCUGGUACCUCACAUAUGAGGCCUGGUCUCUCUCCCACCUGUCUUUCCCCUCUCCCUUCAUGCACCUCUGGGGUAGGAUGAAAGCAAAAGAUAGAGGUGGCAGUGAGAGUGGGGCUGAAGAGUGGGGAGCAGUAGAGGCAAGGGCUGAGUGUGGUCUGUGGGCCAGAAGUAGGAGGGUGCAAGAGAAUCUCCGGGCAGCCUGGGUACUGCCCCUUACCGGUGAGGAAGCAGUGGGGGCUCAGGCUAUCCCUCCAGCCCAUAGGUCAGUGAGUGCGUCUAUCCCUGGCACAGGAGAACAGGGCCAUGCUGCAUGGCCACACAGAGGCCUGGCUCUUUUCUUGGGUGGGGGUAGCACCUCCUUUUUUUAUCAUGGGGACAUUGGGGAGGGGAGGGCCCCCAUAUUACCCAUCAGGCAGCGGCUGCUCCUGUUUUCCCGAGGGCUCGGAGGUACUGAAGGUGGUCGCCAUGGAUGGAGACCGGGGCAAACCCAAUCCGAUUCUCUACAGCCUCGUCAAUGACACAGAUGACAGGAAUCCAUUCUAUGGAGACUUUCCUAGGCAAUACAGAAGAGCUUUCAUCGACACGACUCCCCUGCGCCUCCCCAUGGCCCUGUGUAGAAUUUCAGGGUGCUUCUCUGUGACAGGGAGCGAUGGAGCCUUUGAAAUUAAUGAGAUGUCUGGAGACAUCUCCGUCAUGCAGAGCCCAGCCCAACUCCAGAGAGAGGUGUAUGAGCUGCAUGUACAGGUACCCUCUCUCUAGCUUUGUCUUCCCUGCCCACUUUUGGUCCUAGAAGGCUAUAAAAGUGAUGAGACCCAGGCCCUUUUUCCUGGGACCCACAGUCUGGGGGAGGGGGGCUAGAUCUUGUUCCAAAGAGCACCUGCACCAGACAUGAACUCACCAACAGGGAGUCAUAGAAAGGCAGGAGGAGGUGGGACUGAAGCAGCCAUGCCUGAGCAUGGGUGGGAUCUCACAGGUGCAUGCU
rnacentral:lncRNA from 13 species